UGUCUGUAAAGUACAAUUUUUAUUAAAAUAGAUAUUCAAUUCAUUUACUGUAGUAGUGCCUUAUUAACAACACAUUUAUUUACUAAAAUAAUAACACUACAUAUUUAGAUUCAGGGCAUUGAAUUUGGUUGGUUUACAUAUAUUGUCUUCUGUACAACAACACUGAAAAGGAAAUAAAAUAUUUCCCACACGGCAUAGGAGGAAACUGAGACUUGAAUUGUUUAAAUAAUUUGUCCAGACCAUACCUUUGUCAACAAAAUAUUUUUUCUGUGAUAAAUUAAUUUAUAUUAACUAAUGACACAGACACUAACUCCAUAGGGGGAGAAAAAAAUACAGCAACAAAUGGCAUUCCAUCCUCAAAAAUUUCAGAAAAACUGAAGCAGGAUAUUUUCCUGACCCGUUCAUAGGACUUGUGACAGGGGUGCCUUGUUUACUCAGCCUGCCACUGUCAACUCCUCACAGGCGGGAGCACACGAGAGAAUGAGGCAGAAACUAGAAUGCAUGAGCACUGGAAUGAGCUGGCUGUUUUGCUGCUAGCAGGAUCAAACUCCACUCACUCAGACCCACUGUGUUCCACCCUCAUGGGAGGGAGCUCACAGUGCUGUAACACCAUGCCAGCAUACUGGUUUUCUCGGACAUGGGAGAGAGAUAAAACAGCAACAGUCUCUGAAGCCAAGACUGCACAACUUGAUCGAGCUGAAGAAUUAGUUACCUGCUGGAGGCAUCAACAAAGGAUUUUCAUCAGUGCUGCUCAACAUUUUGUAUCCGGGCUGAUGACCAAGCAUUCCUGAGAUUGAGGACAACAUUCAGCAAGUCUCUAGCCGUUGUAAACUCUGAAACACAUUUUCUUAAAUUUCACACUGUUGCCCAGGCUGAAGUGUAAUGGCGCGAUCUCAGUUCACCGCAACCUCCACCUCCCAGGUUCAAGUGAUUCACCUUGCCUCAGCCUCCCAUGUGGCUGGGAUUACAGGCACCCGCCACCACACCUGGCUAAUUUUUUUAUAUUGUAUUUUGUAUUUUUUUUUAGUAGAGACGGGGUUUCACCAUAUUGGCCAGGCUGGUCUUGAACUCCUAACUUCGUGAUCCACCUGCCUCGGCCUCCCAAAGUGCUGGGAUUACAGGUGUGAGCCACCACACCCAGCCCUGGUUUUUUUUUUCAUAAAUGUUUUUACCAAUGAAAAAAGGAGAUUAAAAUAUCUGUUGAUGUUAUCUUGAGAAGCAGAACAAAGAAAGAACAGAUUAGUGAAUUGUCUCAAGUGUAGAAUCCAUAUAAACAUGCAGUAUUGUACUAUUUGUCAGUUUCAACCUGCAGACUGCCCAUAGUGUACAGGAUAAAAUAGAAAUACAUGCAGGCAGGACCCUUCUGAUCUGACUCUUGCCCACCCUUGCAGCCUCAUCUCUUGUCACGCUUUGCCAUUUUAGAUCCCAUGUUUAAAGCCAUAUCAAACAACUGACAGUCCCCUCGAUAUGUUGUGACUUUUCACACUUCAUGACUUCACAAAAUUUGUCUUUUGGGUCCAUCUCUUCCCAUCCUCCCACCAACCUAACCACAUCCUCUGGCUGACUCCUACACCUUCUUUGAGAUCCAAAGCAUAUGUGUCCUCCAAAGCUCUCCUGAAACCCUCAGGCAACCAUGAAUGGAACAUGUAUGUACUUCUGUUAUUGUAUUAAAUACUCUGCAUUACAAUCAUCAGUUCAUAUUUCAUAUAAUUUAAUGUCAAUAUUAAAAAUGGCUUAGGUGUAAUACCAAUUAGUUGCUAAUUAUAUGCCAGCAUUUUACCUGUGUUAUUUCUGUCUCCUAUGAGGUGGUUACUAUUGAUUUUACUCACUUUAUAAAGCAGAAAACAAGCUUAGAAAUAAGAGGGAACUCGCCUGGGGUUACCCAGGUGGCAAGUGGUGUCCCAGGCAUCUGGGUAGACAGGCCCAAUAUCAAACCACUAUACUCUCUUACUCCUCUCUCUGACUCUUAAACUUCUGAAGGCACAGAUAGUUUUUUGUUUUGUUUUGUGUCUUGAUCCUCAGUUCACUGCAUGAAGUGAGGAGCUGACAAGUAAUAAAAGAGACUGGCAUUUCUGGUUUGGCCUUUAGGGAGCUGAGUAUGGGAGCAGGCACUUGGCCUUGCCAUCUACCCUUACUACACAACCCCCUGCUUCUCACCAGUGUCUCAAGCCACCAUAAAACCCUGUGUAAGAAAAGAUGCAGGGAAUAUGUGUUUAGAGUCCCUCAGUUCACUUUCUCCACAUACUGUCUUCAGGUCCAUCCUGCCUGGCUUUAUUUUGUGCACACAGCUGAGCAGGCCACAUGUGUGGAAAAGGCUUAUGAUUGGAGUGAGCGAGGUGUCAGAACAAGAUGAGCUUUGUGAUCGCUCAGCUCUAGGGAGCGAUUGUUGUUUUCAAGCCUUCACCCUCCCUCACACUUCGCACUCACUUUAAUUGUGACCAAUUUGGAAGUGCUAUUUGCAUCUGCUGGAAUAAAAUACGUACAGCUGUGGAAAUAACAAAAAAUGAAAACUCACUCUUAGUGGAGGUCGGGGGGGACCUUCAUCAAUUGCUACUGAGUACUUAAAAUGAAAAUGUUGCCUUUCCUAACAAACAGCACUGAGAUUUUUCGGAGUGCAAUUUUCUCUGCUCGUGCAUAUGUAUGCAAUAGAUAUCUUCAGAUAUACUUCUCCCCACGCUUUGGUUGGGGUUACAAACGCAGAAGUGGGCCUUCAAGACAGCCUUUUAUUAGAUCUAAAACCAGUGGGCUAAGUAGCACAUCUUAAGUCAUCAUAAGAUAUAAUUAUUACUGAAUUGAAAAGACACAAAACACCAAAAAAAUUCUUAGAGUUGAGGAUCAACCUAAAUAUUACUUCUUACUUCUCCUAAUCCCCAUUGUGCCAGAUCAGUGCUUUGUAUCUGGUAGAUAUUCAAGCACUAUUUCCUGAGUCAAUCGUAGGACACUCCAAACAAUAAAAUGUGAGAAGUCAGAAGGAAAGGGGAGGAAAAGGCACAGGACAUGUAUUCAGCCUCUACUACCUGCUGGAUAAUGUGCUUAAACCUCACAAAAACCUAAAGUGACUUUUUAUUUUCAUGUUAUCAAUAACGAGAACUCAAACUUAAAGAAACUAGUCUGUAAAGUUUUUAGAAUUUUCACUCCUUGUUAAAUCAAGGUAAGAAAACAGACUACAUCCCACCACCCCUCUUCCCAUGUGGGUCACAUGGAAGCUGCCUCAAGUUGUCAUUAAGGAUGCUAGAGUUGGACCACCUGGGCCUGAAUUCUGAUUCCACCAUUUGCUAGCCACAUAGCUCUGGGCAAGAUAAGUAAAUUCUCUGGGCCUCAGUUUCCCCAUGUGAAAAACUGGAUUGAUAAUAAUAUCCAUUUCAUAGGGCUUUUGUGAGAACAAAAUGAAAUAACAAUAAAGUCUUUAGAAUAGUGUCUGGACAUAGGCAGUACUUAAUAACAGUACUAACUGCCAUAGUUUGGCAAAAAAAAAAAAGACACUUAAGAUUGGAAUUUGUGUCUGAUCCACAUUAAAUUCCUCUUUUCCCCACUUCAUCAAGUAGCUUUCCUGAAAAUUGAACCUUUAGGUAUUCAGGUAUUCACACUAUCUUAAAUUUUCUGUCGUUCUUUCCUUCCCUCCAUCCUUCCUAUCUCUUUUUUUUUUCUUUCCCUCCCUCCCAAACACAUGGAAUGGAUAGGUACUCUUCUAUGUACAUACUGAGUUAGUUUCAUUUUCAGAAACAUUUUUAGAAACCAGUGCUCCCUCCUGAUUCCAGUACUUUGCAAACACUGCUGCUUCUGACUUAGUCUUCCUGCAUCACAGGCCCAAAUUUUUGGGUCACCUAUCUUCCUCCUGCAUUCAUCUUAGACUCAAUGUCGCUUUUUCCAGGAAGCCUUGCUUGUCGCUACUGUUACCAAUAUCAACUCAUUCCACUCUCACAUCUUUCAAGACUUGAAUGAUUUGUGCUCCCUUGACCUUGAUGGUUUUGAGUAUUAGUUUUUCAAUGGGCUUGUUUAGCAUGUCUAGUCCUGCUUGGUAGAGGCCUCAGCUUGUUCUUUUUCAUUUCUCCGAAUUUUCUUGCUUGCCUCUAGGAAAGACCUGCAUUCCAUUUUGUUUCAAUGACAGACCCUCAAAAUUCAACUACAGAUGUUAGAUUCUACCGUGACUUGAAUCCAUCAACACCAAUAAAGAUAAACUCUUCAAAAAUAUCAAGUAAAGGGUAUAAACAGACAAAUCUACAAAAGGGUCCCAUUUGUCUCUCCCUUGACCUUUAGGUGGAUUACUUGAACGGUUUUCUGUUCUAUGUGUCUGUGUGAGGGUAGGUAUUACAUACAUAUUUUUCACCCUUGUAUUCCCCAGCUUGGAGGUCAAUGCCUACUAUUAG
rnacentral:lncRNA from 10 species